rnacentral:lncRNA from 1 species
AGUAAUGCAGAAUUCUACUUCAAUUGAGAACCAAAGAUAAUUCACUCUACAGAUAAGGAAAAGUAAACUCCCACCAAAUAAGCUUAUGACCUUAAAAUACAAGGGGUCAUUUAUAGCUGUACUUUUUUUUGUUUGCCCCAGAUUGAGACGUGAUAAAACAAAACCUUUACAUAGUUAGUUACUUUCCUGGGACAUUACAUCUCAAUACUGAAUUAAUUGUAUGCUCAACAAUAAAUGGUCCAAGGUCAUCAUUGUUGCCAGGUGCUAGUUCCAUUCUUUACCAGUUUUUCUGUUUUUGAUACCUGUUUAUAUUCAUAUGUAUUACAACUUUUAGCUUAAAAUUAGAUUUAGGCAUUUUCUUUAUAUUGUUAGGGAUCCCUGUAUACACAUCAAACAAAAGGUUACCCAAUCUUCUAUCGNNNNNNNNNNNNNNNNNNNNNNNNNNNNNNNNNNNNNNNNNNNNNNNNNNNNNNNNNNNNNNNNNNNNNNNNNNNNNNNNNNNNNNNNNNNNNNNNNNNNNNNNNNNNNNNNNNNNNNNNNNNNNNNNNNNNNNNNNNNNNNNNNNNNNNNNNNNNNNNNNNNNNNNNNNNNNNNNNNNNNNNNNNNNNNNNNNNNNNNNNNNNNNNNNNNNNNNNNNNNNNNNNNGGAAGAGAAAACUCAUGAGCACCAAACAAAACAACUAGAGAUAAAAGACUAUUACAUAUUUAAUUCCAAUUCAAAUAUUCUCAUAUCUCUCCUUCCCUAGAACAGAAGAGAAUUGCCUGGGAAACAUCCCAUGCCCAAUGUCUUCUUUUUCUUCUUCUAAUGUCCAGUUGUGCAUUGCGUCCUUUACAUCAUAGGAACUCCAAACUAAUUUAGAACCACUCAACUACCGACCACAGUGGCAUCACGACCUGAUGCUGCAACAAGAGAUGAUAUACAAGUCACAUAGGUGAUUCAUCUUUUUUCAGUUUGACUGUAAGCAUCCUCCUCAGCCCAUCUUCACAAGGCUUGGUGUAAUAUUUGGUAAGAUUUAACUGUAAAUAUCUAUCUCUCCUUAGCCUAUCUCCACAAGUCUUUGUGUAUCAUUUGGUAUCAUAUGCCUAUAAAGUAGCUCCAUUAGGAUUUGAAAGUCAUGCAUCUCCUAAUCCUAAAGAUAUCUCCUAAAUUUCAACUUCCAACAAACUCCUCCUUCAUGUACCCUUUUGAUCUAUUAUAUUGACAUCUUUUUAUUUUGAUAAUAUAUAUAUGUGCUAGGGAAGGCAAUUCUCAAUUGUAUUAACCUAUUGUAUGUUGUCCUUCUUGUCAUCAAAAUAUCUAUUGUUUCUCUCCAUCCAAGUAAACAAAAAAAAAAGCAAACAGGGAUAGAAAAUCCAGUAGUGCAUGUUAUCCAUUGAUGAAGAAUCUUCAUACAACCUGCAUAUUACAAGUUUUAUGGACCUUCACAUGACCUGGUGAACACCAAAAAUAAUAAGAAAAAUAGUCCGGAUCUGUCUAGUCAAAAUAUGAUCAAGCAGUAUAAUUCACAGAUUCAAUGACUUCUUCACAAAAGAGGCAUCUAAUUCACACAGUGAAACUCCUUUUCUAAGAUUUAUGAAUUUUGAAGGCGUUGUAUGUAAUAAUCAAACUGAAAAAAGAAGCUCUUGGGGGACCAAUUGUAUUCCAAAUUCUUCUCCGUCGCCAACCAUUUUGAGUCUCCUGUACUUUCCAAAAGAUUUUUAUAGCAUGGCUUGACAGUAAACUUUCCAUCCUUCUUAAUUUUCCACCAUAUUAAGUUAGCUUCCUGUUCAUUGCUGGAGAGUUUCCAACUUCUUGAAUAGUUUGUUAAUCCAUAUCUUCAAUUUUACAGUCAAAUAAGUUUCUUCUCUAGUGUAAAUUCCUUCCUCUAGUAGAAUAACAGUCUGUCAUAGUGCAUUUUGUGCUAAUGUGUACAGGUCUUAUAGAAUAUCAUCCAUCCACCUAUCAGUCCACCACCUUACUUUCUUUCCGUUGCCCAUUUUAAGCUUUACAACAUCAAGAAACUCUUUACAGAGGUUCCUGAUGUGUUCCAGACUGAUACCCCAUAGGAUAUUUUACAAUAUUAGUGCAGUGUUCCUCAUAUUUUUCCAUACUUAGAGAACAUCAUUCCAUGAAUCAUCACUACUAUUGUGGAACCUCUAGUUCCAUUUCAACAACAGACUUCCAUUUUGUAAUGGAAGACUUUUACCCCAAAACCCUGAAUAUUUUAUAUCUACUGGCAGUAUUACACUUUACUGAAUGGGUUUUCUACUUUUCCCAGUUCUUCUCCCAUAAGGAGUUUCUCCUUGUCCUGUCCAAUUUCUUUUCCAUACUCUUGGCCUUGGUCAUACAAACUAAUGGCAUUAUAUGUUUGGAGAUUCCAUCCAAUAGACCAUUAAUCAAGGUCAACCUGCCCCCAGAAGAUGUGCUGCUCCUUUCAAAGUGCCACUUUUCUUUCACACUUAUUUAUCACCCCAUGCCAAACAUUAGCAUCCUUUUUCUUUGCACCCAAACACAUACCAAGAUAAGUUUUCGGGAAACUCCCAUAUUUGCAACAUUACAACAUAAAUGAAUGCCAGCUUGUAACUAAUGGAUCUGCAUUAAUAGAAAAAAAUGUGCCCAAUUCACAUGAAAACCAGAUGUAAUGACCCUUCAGAUCAUUUCCUCAAUUUGUAUGCAUUUGUGGCAUUUCAAGUCUUCCCACAAUGGGUUAGAACUGUUGGUUUGGUUAUCGAGCAGUUUGUUUGGAUUUUAGGCUCAUUUUCCAAUUUUGGAGUUUUCGCUGUAUAGGAUUUGGUAUUGAAUCAAAACUUCUAGUAGAUGACCUCAGAUGAGAAUUCCAAUCGAGCCAUUAGCUCUAGAACAUUAAUUUUAUGCUAGAGUGACCCUUGGUUCAUAUCCCGAGGCUUUCAGACUCAUUUUGAGCUAUUAGGCAGAUUAUGUGAACAAUGGAACUAUAGAUGUGUGUCGCACACUUAGUUGAAACAACCUCGGAUGCAAGUUUAGAGGGUUCAAUUGAGUCUGGAACGUCAAAUUUGGUACGAUAGCAUAUUAUUUUUGCGCACAUGGAAUUUUGAAAGAAACCCAAACACCCGGUCGAAGUCUGUUUUAGACUUAGCCAAUCUGGUGCAUCAGGUUACUAGUGUGACCGCUUAAGUAAUAAAAUGAUUACUUAUGUGGUCAUCGCGUAUGCAGCUAUUUUUUCCUUAAGCGACACUGGCCACGUAGUCAGUGUUUACCCAUGCGAUGCUUUGUCCACCUAAGCGGGCACCGCGCAAGCGGCCUACGGUUCGCGUAAGAGCCAUCCGACCCCUCAUGAUAGAUCAUGUAAACAAUAGGUAAGUCUCUUAAGCGACUAUCACUUAAGAGACAGGGUGAUCUCUUAAGAGACACCUGGCACUAUUUAACCCUCUUUCUCCACCCUUUUUUCUAUCACUUCUUCCACCAUUCUUACACUAAAUAGAGAGCUUAUAGAGUGCAAAAAGUUUGAAAUCAUCCACAAAGGUUAUGGUAAGCUAACUUAACUCUUCUUGGUCAUUUUCCAUUGAUUUUCUCUUCAACGUCCAUCAUAAUUAUUGGUAAAGAUCUUUGAAAUUAGGGGUUAAAUUCCUAAAUUUUGAGGGUUAAUUUGAGACCCAAAUUGUGCUCUAUUUGUCCUAAAAUUUUAAGCACAAUUUCCUUGUCCUUCGAGGGACCUCGUGACGGGUUCAAUUUUGGAUUCCAUUUGUGGGCACCGCGAGCGUGUUCUUGACCUGAAAUUUGAUCGACCCAUAAUAUAGAAAUAUAGGUCUUGUUUUACUCCUACUGAUUUGUAGAUCUAUUCAACAACAUGACGGUGUUUUGGGAUCAUGGAAUGAAAAUAAAUAAUUUGUGGAUGAUUCAAAAGUUGCAGUUCGACAUUAAGGUAGGCUUGUGUCUUCUGUUUUUCUUGAGAUGGUGUUUACAUAUGUUAUAUGUUCCAUAGAGGUAUUAUGAUAUGAUUGUGCGUAUAACACCAUGACUUAGCCUAAAUUAUCAAUUUAGGGGCUAGAAGGGUAUUUAACCUUAAAUUGAAAUACUUAUUAUACUUCUAUAAUCCUAUUACCUUCUUUAUAGAUAGAGCUAAUUCAUAGCAUGAUUAUGAGGUUAUUCUAGAUAUGGGAUGGGAUUUAGACACUGGAAAUACGAUUAGUAUGAUUAGUCUUAUUUUGAUUGUUUAGGCUAUCUUUAAAUCGUAAUUUAGAUGAAAUUGGCUUAGUUGCUUAUGUUUUAGGAGAAAUUUCUAUCUUAAGGCUAAUCAUGCCUUAUGUAUCAUCUAGAAGUCGAUGUGGAUACCUUACCCUAGUCCAAGGGGUAAUUGUCCAAAUAUGGAUUUCGGAUAUAAUAAGUGGGCUCCUUCAGCCCACUUUAGGCCAAGACCCGUGUUAGAUUUUAUAGACUUAUUUACACAUGUUAGCAUGAUUAAACUCAAUUAAGGUUAAUAAACCCUUAAUAUGAUGUUAGUACAUUACUUGGUGGAUUGUAAUGGUCUUUUCCUAAAUUAUGAUGCUAUGGUUAUUCUGGAUAUAUAUUGUGCCUAAGGCCGUGAUUAUGAUGUUAUGAUUAUAUGUUGGCCCAAGGCCAUAGUUAUGAUGUCAUUGUUAUGCUAAAUAUAUAUUGGUCCCAAGGCCUUAGUCAUGAUAUUGGUUGGGUUUGGGAAAUUGUCUUAUCCUUGUAAAGGAAGUGGUCGCAACUUAUAGACAAAUUGAUGUUUAUAAUCAUAUUAUUUGUAUACUGAUGAUGGAAAGCAUAGAUUUGGUGCAAUCAUGAUCACUUAGACGAUAAAUGGUACAAUUACAACUAAAUUAUGGAUUACUCUUUUCCUAAAAAAGGGAUUUUCCCACUUUUCACUCUUAAAAUAGAUUUCUUCAAAAUGAGAAUCAUAUUAUAUUCAUGAAUAACUUAUGACUUCUUGACUAAUAAUGAUGAUCUUUGAGAUUUGAUCAAGAUAGAUUUUGAUCAACAGUCUUACUACUACCAUUUACCCCAAUCAAGUGAGAUUCUGACCCUUUCUACACUCAUAUGAUGAUUUAGUCUCAAAGUUUACUCUGAGUAUUAGAUUUAUGAACUCAUACUCUUUUAGCCACGAUUCUAUCCAUGCGCUUAUAUACAUGUAUAUACAUAUAUCUGUGGUACUGAAUAAAUAGAUGAUUGAUAAUGAUAUUGAUGAUGUGAGCUCUGGUUUAAUUUUGGUGAUUGAUGAUGAUACGAUGAUGUGAGUUCUAGUUCAAGUCCGAUGAUUGAUCAUGAUAUUUAUCAUAUGAGUUUUGAUUCAAGUCUAAUGAUUGAUGAUGAUAGUGAUGAUAUCAGUUUAUACACACUAGGUUAUUUUAUAGCAUUCAAAUCAAUUAUGGUACUAUGGAUUAUAUCUUGGUAUUCAUUCUUGCAUGUGCAUUGCCUAUAACCAAUAUGUGCCUAUAUCUAUCAACCUUAUGGGUGGUUGCAUAUGUAUAAGUAUAAGUGCUGAUUAUAGUAUAUUGUGUGGAGCUUGUAUUUAUCAGCCCUAUUGGGGGUUGCAUAGGUAUAGGCUUGGACUGUUGUUUGCUGAAUAUUGAUUGAAACUUCUAAGCCUUUGACAAUGGUGUUUUAUGAAAGGCCCAGUUAGGUAUUAUUUGUCUGGACUAGCAGAUUGCCUUGUAUUGUUAUUCUUAUUGUUAUUAUAGUUAGUUUGUGACCUGUUGAUUAUUUGAUUGGUAUUGAGAUUUGAGGUAUGAUUCUUAUUCUUUCAUCUUACGAUCAUAUUAUUAUGCUUGAUUAUCCUAUGAAGGCAUUAUGGCUUUAGACCCUAAUAUCUUGAUCCCUUUCUUGGCAAUUACUUUAUUAUGGAUAAUUAGCUCAUGUAUAGCUGUAUGGAUUAGAGAACCUGACUAUUUUAGCACUAGUUCCUACUAGAUUAGGAGGCUGGGGAUACCAGUAUGAUUACUUAGAUAGUACUCUUGGGUUAGCCUUGUUAUGUAUAUAUAUCAUCUAUAGUAGUUAUGGUAUUACUGUAUAUCCCCCCCAUACUCAUGCUGUAUAUCCAUUCCUUUAUCUUGUAUACUACAAUAUAUAUCCUUCUUUCACUCUUUAUUCGUACAUUGACUAGUGAUAUAUGGUAUAGUGCUAGGGUCUCAGAGUAUGGUUGGUAUGGGGUAACUUAUCCUUGUUGUUCCAUCAGCUUAUUAUGUUUGUUGCUUGGAUAUAAAUAGAAUAAUUAUCCUUAUAGUCUCAUUAGCCUUAUUAUGUUUGUUGGAUAUUUGGGUAUAUUUUACAUCUUGCUUGUAUGCUAUUUAUAUUUGCAUUAUCUUUGGAGCUUAGUCGGUAGUUUCCUACUGGGUACCACGUGUUUGGUACUCAUACUAUACUUCUGCAACCUACAAAUUAUAGUAUGGGUUCUCGCUGUUAUUGUGUGUAUCAUGUGGAGAAGCUAUGGUUCAAAGACAUAGGGUAAGCUCCUGUCAUUUAGAGAAUUACUAUUUUCCUCCUAUGUGUUAGACUGAUCUCUAUGUUGUAUUCAAAGAUAGGUUGUAUACGUAUAUUUAUUUAGUACUUUAUUUUGUAACCAUAUUACAUUAGAAGCUCUUGUACUGAUUCCACCAGGUUUUUAGACUAUCUUUUGUAUUUUAGUCUUUUAUUUUAUUUAUUCCACAGUUUCCCUCCAUUUCUUUGGGUUGUUUGUUACUAGUAGUUCUAGACUAUGGGUUGGCUUACCUCUUGGUGGGUUAUAGUAGGCACCAUCAUAACCUCAGAAAUUAGGUUGUGACAAAUUGUUAUCAAAGCCUAGGUUUACCCGUGUGUUGGUACCUGAGCUAAGUGUCUAAUAGAGUUUUGCAGAUUGGCACAGAGACGUUUGUAACCUAUCUUUGAGAGGCUACAAGGCAUUCUUAGGAAAUUCUAUUCUUGACUCCUUGUCAUGUUUCCAUAUUUCUAUGAGCCUCAAGUACGUUCUUUGACUAAAUUUUGUCCCAGAUGGAUGAUGCAAGGUAUUCAAUAGAUGCGGAUGAGACUUCAACAUACAUUUCUAUAGCUUUAGUGCAAUAUUGGACUAGGGAGUCAGGAUGUGUCAAAACUCUUCAGCAUUAAUCAGAGGAUUUGGGGACAACCAAGGCACCGGUAGAGUUUGCGACCACUUCAUAUUUUUUGAGAUUCAACAUUAGGGAUCCCAAGUUUUUUUGCGAAUACCUCACAAUAGGGAUGACAUUCCAUUCAUUGAGUAGUUCUCAAGCUAGAGUUGGAUUCAUUGGUUUUCAUCAUGGUUCUUUAUCAUAUUCAGAGUACGAGAUUGGGUUUCUUGAAUGCUCCAUGCAUAUUUCUAUGCUAUAUCCUUCUAAGCAUGAUAUGGUGCAUUGAUUUAUUAGAGAAUUAGCAUUGCCAAUCUGUUUGGUAUCGAACCACUUGAUAGUAGUUGGAUCUUCCUUCUCUUAGCUAGUUAAUCAUGCGAGGGCCAUAGAGAGAGAAUGUAUUAAGACUUAUGAAGGUGGAUAUAAGAGUCCAUGUUAUUUGUACAGUGCUAUUGAUGUUCUAUCCAGGAGUGAGGAUCCUUUGGGUGGGGAUCAGCUUCACUUGUAGCCUAUUAGUUCCAUGCAGGUAGCAUCUCAGGCUAUGGGCGGCUCUUAGAUUAUUCAUGGUGAUCACUGUGCGUAGAGUUCUCAUCGACCUUGUGGAGUUUUUUAUAUGGGUUUUUAGGAUGUAGUGGCCAUUCUGCUUCAACCGGGUUAGUAUCUCAGAGUAUUCUAUGAGCUUGUUAUGGUUAUGGUAAAGAUGGGACAUUGAUCUAGAGAGUGCUCCAGACACGAGUGGGUUGUUCAGACAGAGUUAGUAUUCAUUCCUCACCAUCCUCUUGAGGUGUGUUAUGAAUGUGGGAGGGAUGGUAGUUUUAGUAGAGAGUGCCUUAGGCAUCUAUUGGUUAGAUAGUUAGGGUAAAUUCAUAUUUCUCACUAGGUUAGGGCUUCAAGGGUUUGCUACGAUUGUAGAAAGAUCGACCACUAGUCUAGAGAGUGUCCCCGAUGAGGGAUUAUUAGUCAUUCAACCCUUUCAGAUUAAUCUCAUGGUGUUGUAGCACAUUUAGUUAGGUGUAUUAGACUUAGCAGCUCAGUUGAUGAUUUUGAUGCUCAGUCCAAGUUUGGAUUAAUUCAGAUUUAUUAACCCUCAGGCACGUCAGGCAUAUGACUUUAGAUUUCACCGUGAUAGGUGCAUUUUUUUAUUUCCUGACUUUACCUUUUCAUUGGUAUGUAUUGGGUUUCUUGUACCUAUCGAUGAUUGUAUGCCUUGGUAGGGUUAUAUCAAUUGUUGUGUUUCUUGAUAUAGAAUUUAUGAUUAUAUGACUAACCCCAUAGAUUAUUUCUUUUAGAAGUGGAUGAAGUGGAUCAGUGUUGAUAUUUUCCCUUGGGGUGUAGUAUUUGGGUUCAAGUCCUAUUUACCUUGGCAUAUUGGGCUUCUUAUGGCCCUAUAGUGGUACUUGCUAUUGAGUUUUGUUUUGGUGCCGCCUAUUCCCUUAUAUUGAUGUUUAUAUCGCUAUUGUUAUUAUUUUCAUUAUUUGAUAUAAUUGAUCCUUGUUUGUUAGAUGGCUAGACUAUUAGUAUUUAAUUAGAAUUUCCCCUUCCUUAUGGUUCUUAUUCGUUGGAUUGGGCAACUAGCUUAGUUGGAUGUUGUAUCUAUUAUAUCGAGGUGAGGUUGGUUGUUUUCCUCUUCUAUUGGGAAUGCUAGGCUAGUUGUUUAGUAGAUUAUGGUAUUGAAGGUAAGUUGACCUUCCGUGGUUUUGUUAUGGUUCUAGAGUUGGCAAUUUGAUUAUAUUGCUCAUUCUUGAGUUUGAGAUUCUAAGACUUGCCUCUUAGCUUAUAGAAGUUUUAGCAUUUGCUAUUCCUCUCUAUUUUGCUCAUUUUUGAGGAUGAUCUAUUUGGAGUCUAUUUUUUUAAUCUGACUAGUUCAUCACCUAAUAGUGGUUUUAAUGUUGAUGCUGAGAAGUCUUGGAUUCAUCGUUCUAGUUUGUUGGGUUCAUCUACCGGUAAUGGUUUGCUCUUAGUAUUAGUGUGGAGUUAGGUAUUAUGUUCUUUUCGUGAUGUAGUUAUUGUCUAAGUGGAGUUAAAGAGUUUGGGAUAAGUGAUCUUUCUUAUGAUCGCUUCUUAGUUGGGAAAUUAGAAUUUGCUAUCUCGAGUUACUUGAUUUAUUUUUUGGUAGUGGUCUUGACCUUGUCUUUAGUGUUGAGAUUUGUUACCUUCUUUUUCUAGAAUGUAAUUCAUGGAUUGAUUGAGUUAAUAUUGUCCUACUAGGGUGGAUUCAGUAAAUCCUUAUUUUGGAAUUUGUUCGGCCUAAUAAGACUUUGUGAAGUUAUUUUCCUGGGAAAUAUGUUCCUAUAUAUAUUCGUUGUCCUGGUGGAGUAUUAGAUCCUAUGGGUAUUCAUUGUCCUGAUGGAGUAUUAGAUCGAUUAGUUUGUCAAUAAAGUUGCAUUUCUCAAAGUUGCUAGUGUUUUGGUUAUCUUUAGUCCAGUUUACAGCCUUUAUGAGUUCUUUAGUAUGCAUUGAUGAUUUGUACCCUUUAGUGGAUAUAGAGUUAGUUUCUGUGUUUUCAGCCAAUGAUUUAUCCUCUGUUGUGAUUUUGUUCUUCAUCUAUAUUUUUAUUUUUCCUUAACAUAAUUCAAUAAAGAUAUGUCUGAUUUGGAUAGUAAGGUCAAUUUGAGUAUUUGGCCUUAGUUCAGGUAUGUUGCUUAGUUUUUAAUUUGACACCUUGGAAUGACAAUUUGGAGGUUAUGAUAGAUUGGGAGUGUGGAUUCUUACCCAUCUUUAGGUUUGGUUUGAGUAGUUGAGGUUAAGCGAUUCAUCCUUAGUAUCGAUAUGAUAGCUUGGAAUUAUAGAUCUUGGGUGUAGCCUUCGUAUUUAGAUUUGUCUCUAUUGGGGUUUUAUUUAUAGGCUGGCUAAGACUACUCCGUGGUUACCUAUUCGGUCUUCUUCCGUUCGGAUGGAUUAUGGGUUUUCAGAUGAUAGUUCAUGGACACAGUAUUAGUUUCUUCAGUUUGACGUUGAGUUUUUGUUUAUCGUAGGAUUUUUGAAUAUACUCAACAGAAGUAGUAUGCUUUGAGUUGGAUUCAACAUGGCUUCAUUUGAGGUUUAUAGGACAUCCUAGAGUGGAUCAUUUAGUGGUGAGUAGUUGUGCUUCGGACUCUUGAUUUUCUAUUUUGAGGGUUAUCUGGAUUAGUUGUAGCAUUGGCAUAGAUUGUAGACCCUGGUUGUCUCCAUUUGUGUGCCCAGGUAGUGCCUUAUGGUCUUAUUCUCGUGCUUGCUUUUAUGGAUUUUUGAUGGAGCAACUUCCCUUCUUUGCGGUUACUAUGAUGGGACUAUACGAAUAGGAACCGGGUCAUUUUUUCCUGGGUUAGAGUGGAUAACAGGUUUGGAAAGGCAAAAAAAGGUUAUGUUCAGAUUUGGUGUUGGUUGCAUAACUCAUGCCUUGGUUUUCCUUUGGCUUGGAUAAUUUUUGUUUGAUUGUGCUAGUAUCGGUGUGGUAUAUCAUGUCAUGGUUUGGCUUUGCGUGCAUCUGCCUUCCUCGAUUUGGUUGGAGGUUAGUUGGUGAUUGAGGUUAAGUUUUUGUUAUUGAGAAAGAAAGAAAAAAAGUUGGCUAAUAAAGGGAUACUUGUGGCAAAAUCCUGUGGAUGUGCUGUCUCUAGACAUUUUGUGGGAAGUCGUGGUCGAAGCAGGGCCCAAUACCUCGACCCUUUAAGAUUUCAUGAUCUUUUUAUCCAUUGACUUUUGCAGAUAAAAGUCCUUCUAGUAGUGGAUAUUAUAAUGACCCUCCAAGUUAUUUCUUCGAUUUGCAUGGAUUUUUGACAUUUCAAGCCUUCCCAUAACGGUGAAAAGUCAUUUGACUUUUUGGAACUUUCAGUUCGGUUAUCUGACAGUUUGUUUGGAUUUUAGGCUCAUUUUCAUAUUUAGAGCUUUUGCUAUAUAGGAUUUGGUCUCAGACCAAAACUCCUAUUAGAUGACCUCAGAUAAGAAUUCUGACUGUACCAUCAGCGUUGAAACAUUAAUUUUAGUCUAAACGGACCCUUGGUUCAGGUACCGAGGCUUUUGAACUCAAUUUGGGCUAUUGGGCAGAUUACACAAAAAAUAAAACUAUAGUUGUUGGCCCCACGCUUUGUUGAAACAACCUCGGAUGAAAGUUUCGAUGCUUUCAUUGAGUUCAAAACGUCAAAUUUGGUAUGGUAGCAUAUUUUGUUUGCGUACAAGGGAUUCUGAAAGAAUCCCGAACACUUGAUCGAAGUCCACUCCAGACUUAGCCAAUCUGGUGCAUCAAGUCACUGGUGUGACCGCUUAAGAGAUAAUAUGAUCACUUAUGCGGGUCAUCACUUACGCGACUAUUUCUCACUUAAGCGACACUGGCAAUCUGGUCAAUGUUUGCAUACUUGAUGCUUUGUCUGCCUAAGUGGGCACCGCGUAAGAGACUUGCAAUUUGCGUAAGCAAUACUUGGACUCUCAUAAUAGACCGUGUAAGUGAUAGGUGAGUCUCUUAAGAGACUAUUGCCUAAGCGUUAGGAUGAUUUCUCCAUCCGAUUUUCCAUCACUUUUUCCACUAUUCUUACACCAAAUUGAGAGAUUUAAGAGAGGGAAAAGUGGUAAAUCAUCCACAAAGGUUGAGGUAAGCUAACCUAACUCUUCUUGGUUAUUUCUAAUUGAUUUUCCCACCAUUUUCCAUCAUAAUUCUUGGUAAAAUUCUUAGAAAUUAGAGCUUGAAUUCUGAAACUUUAAGGGUUAUUUGAGACCCGAAUUGUGCUCCAUUUGUUCUCAAAUUUUGAGCACAAGUUCCUUGUCAUUCGAGAGACCUUGUGACGAGUUCAAUUUUGGAUUUUGUUAUGGUCCCUAUGGGCUCGUUCUUGACCCAAAGUUUGACCCGACCCUUAAUCUAGCAAUAUGGGUCUUAUUUUACUCCUAACAUUGUGUUGAUUUCUAUUUAGUAGUGUGAUGGCAUUUUGGGAUCGUGGAGUGAUGACGAAUAAUUUAUGGACAAUACAAGGGUUGCGGUUUGGCAUUGAGGUAGGCUUCUGUCCAUUUUUCUUCUUGAGAUAGAGUUUAUAUAUAUAUAUUAUAUGUUUGAUAGGGGUGUUAAGAUGUUAUUGUGGGUAGAACACCAUGACUUAAACUAAAUUGCGAGUUUGGGGGCUAGAAGGGUAUUUGACCCUUAAGAUGAAAUAUGUAUUAUACUUCUAUAAUCCUAUUACCUUCUUUAUAGAUAGAGCUAAUUUGUAGCAUGAUUAUAAGGUUAUUCCAGAUAGGGGAUGGGAUUUAUUCAUUUGAAACAUGAUUAAUAUGAUUAAUCAUAUUUGGAUUGUUUAGGCUAUCUUUGAACUGUAAUUUAGGUGAAACUGACGUAGUUUCUCAUGUUCUAGGAGGAAUUGCUAUUUUAGGGCUAAUCAUGACUUAUUUAUCAUCUAGAAGUGGAUGUGGAUACCUUAGCCUAGUUUGAGGUGGUAAUGGUAAUAAAAUUGAUUUCGAAGAUUUGAAGUAGGCUCCCUCAGCCCACCUUAGGCAAAGACCUAUGCUAUAUUUUGUAGACUUGUUUACAAAUGUUAGCAUAAUUAGACUCAAUUGAGGUUAAUGAACCUUUCGUAUGAUGUUAAUACAUUACUUGGUGAUUGUAAUGGUUUAUCGUUGAAUUAUGAUGCUAUGUUUAUUCCAGAUAAAUAUUGGACCUAAGGCCUUGAUUAUGAUGUUUGGUUAUAUGUUGGGCGGAAGUCUAUGAUAAUAAUUCUAUGGUUAUGAUGGAUAUAUAUAUUGGGCCCAAGGCCGUUGUUAUGAUAUUAGUUGGGUUUCGAGAAAUAUCCUAUCCUUGUAAAGGAAGUGGUCGUAGUUUAAAGACGUAUUGAUGCUUAUAAUCGUAUUAUUUGAAUAUUAUUGAUGGCACACAUCGAUAUUGUACAAUCAUGAUCACUUAGACGAUUAAUGGUAUGAUUCCAACAAAAAUACAGAUUACUCUUUUCCUAAAAGGGAUUUUUCCCACUUUUCACUUUUUAAAUAGAUUUCUCAUAACGGGGAUCAUAUCAUCUUCAUGAAUAACUUAUGAGGCUUCAAGACUAAUAAUGAUGAUCAUAGAGAUUUGAACGAGAUAGAUUUCGGUCCACAAUUUUACUACUACUAUUUACCCCGAUCGAGAGAGAUUCCAACCCUUUCUACACUUUUAUGAUGAUAUAGUCCUAGAGUUUACUCUUGGUAAUGGAUUUACAUUCUUUUAUAUAUAUAUAUAUAUAUAUAUAUAUAGAUCUAGUAGUGAAUGAAUAGCCGAUUGAUGAUGAUAUGAGUUUCGAUUCAAGUCUGACGAUUGAUGAUGAUAUUGAUGAUAUGAGUUUCAGUUCAAGUCCAGUGAUUGAUGAUGAUAUUGAUGAUAUGAGUUUUGGUUCAAGUUUGGUGAUUGAUGAUGAUAUUGAUGGUAUAGGUUUAUACACUAAGUUGCUUUAUGGCAUUCAGAUUAGUUAUGGUAUUAUAGAUUAUAUCUUGGCAUUUAUUCUUGCAUGCACAUUUCCUAUCAACAGCAUGAGUAUUGCCUAUCAAAUACAUACACCUAUAUUUAUCAGCCUUAUGAGGGUUGCAUAGGUAUAGUUGUGUAACACCCCAGAUUUUGAUCCCAGAAAAUUUCUAUGUUUUAAAACUCAUUGCCCAAACUAUGACUCUCCUAACGUGUCGUUAUGUGUCAUUACAAUUUUAGGGACCCAAUCGUAUCCUGGCCUAGAUUUUCUAUUAUGUCUAUGACUAAGAGGUUACGAGUUGUAAGGACUCAAAACAAAUCGUACAGUCCCAUCCCUAGCCAAACGAGUGUGAUUCCCAAAGUAUUCAGUCUUGACUAUGACUUGGAUCUUACGAGUCAUAGUAUCUCUUAACAAGUCAUAGGGUAGGAUUCAUAGGGUCACCAGAGAAGUUUCCUCAGCUAUUGUCCAGACUAUAAAUUGUGGUGAUGAUUGAUAGUGAGUCCUAACGAGUCAUAUAGUGACCCGUAGUCACUGGCAAUAAUUUUUCAGAUUUAAAGUUGAGGGAACUUUGGAUAUUUCCCUCUUUACCCACUUAAUACCCACGACCAUAAAACACCCUUAGGAUGUUAUUUUCAAUACUUUAAAACUCAAAACACUCAUUCAAGCUCUCUAAACUCUCCAAGGUCAAGAUACUUAGGGUUUCCAAGAAGUUGGUCAUCGAAGGGCUUAAGGGUUGAUUUCUCUCUAUAAAUCUUUGUAUUUCAGGCAUAUAACUAUUCCCCAAUUCUUAUUUUAUGAAAACAUGUGUUUUAAAUAGUUUAAUUAUAUGGAUUUAAAUGUGGGUUUUGAUAUGGUUGAGGGUUUUUGAAUGAUUGAUUCUUUAAUUGUUUUCCCAUGGUUUUGAUGAGUUACUCAUGCUUUGAAAUUUAUGUUUUGAACUAACGGGGUGCAUGGGUGUGGGAUUUUGAAUGGUGGUCAAGGUAUUCCCUCAAAUUAAUGUUUUAAACUUGGAGUUGAUUUUGAAUAAUUGUGUUCCCUCAAACCACUUGUGUAAUUGGCUUUGAAUUAUGGAAUUAUCACUUGGUUUGACUUACUCACUAAUGAGAUUGCACUGCAUAAAUGGUUAAACAAUGAACAUGGAUUUUGAAGGCCGUCCUAGAUAUGUUUGAUUUAAUCAACAAAAGGAGUCGAGGUAUUCCCCCAAGAUAAUGUGAUUGUUAUGGCAUAAAGAUAAGCUUGCAAGUGUAAAGGUAUGACAAUAAACAUGGUGUGCCUUAAUGGUUGAUUCUUGGGUUAAUAAAUGGCAUAUGUGAAACUUGUUUUAAAUUGUGCUUAAUGAGGAUUAUAUAGCUAAGCCGUGAAAGUAUGGGUCUUGGAUGACUUAUACUAGAAACUCAUGUUUGCCGACAUGAGGUUUGGUCGUGAUGACCGUAUGCACAGUUCACACUAUUGAUAUAUAAUUGUAUCUAGGAUUGAUCUGGGGUUGAGGUAUUCUAUGUUCUUCCUUAAUACCUCUGGUUCAUACGGCUAAGACACACUAGGGUCGUCCUUUCAGCAGGGGGAGAUGAACCCAUAUAGCCCGUGGAUGCCUAUUUAUGAUGAUUGAGCUACAAAGUCUAGGAUAAUGUUUGACUAUCAUGCUAAACCUUGUCCCCUAUUAUAACUCCCCAAAAUCUCAUCCUGGAGCGUUACACGAUACUUAAGGCUGCCCCAAGCUAACCCGUUGAGCUUUUUACCAUCUCAUUCCCUCACUUUGGGAAGUUAAACCAAACAAUGAUACCAUGAUAUAUUAACUCAAAACUUGAAUAACUGGAAAACAUAUUCUGAAAUAUCAAAUACUAAAAGUCUAAAACACAACUGCUAGUCUAGUCUGACAAAGCCUCUACUACUCAAACUGGAGAGCCAUUGGCACAGAACCUCAACUGACUCGAACUAAUAUGGAAGUAAUAAUUACUGAAAAUCUGAGAAAGUAGGUCCUUGAACCAUGGGGAUUCACCAAUUGUGUGAUGUAGGCAAAGACACUCGAGAAUUACUGUCACUGCUAAGACUGACCACCCAAACCUACAUUAUAAGACAAUGUAGCACACAAACGUAUAUGUGGAUCAACACUUUGGGAAUGUACUAAGUAUAUGGGAGUGUAUGCAUUUACAUAGAACAAUAUCAAUACUCUUUAAUAAAAUCAUGCAUGCAAAUAGGAAUGACUCACAUGGCUUGAAUACGUCUAAAAUAUAAAACUCAUAAAUCAUAAUAGUGAAACAUGUAACACAAAUCUCAUCAGUCAUUAUACUUAACUUUAAAAUCUAUACUCUCCUCUUAUUCUCAGUAUUUGAAGGCUAAAGGAAGCUUUAAACAAUACUUUCAAACUCAUUCUUUUAUCUGGUGGAGAGUUAAACUUCUUUAAAACUGAUAGACUUAGAACUUUUAGGAACUUUUACAACUUGGGAACCCUGGAACUCUUUAAGACUCAGGAGUUUCUUCUAACCUACAUAAAAUAUGUGAGCUACAUGGAGUCCAAUAUCUUGCCCACGUUGGGGAGAGCUAUUCUUCCCUUGACAUCAAAAUAGAACCUUAAACUUAAGUGAUUACUAUCUUGGCCUCAGGCCCAUAAAUCUCAAUCCUACGGUAGCACGUAGUUCUAGGGCAUGAAACCUUGGAAUCAUACCCAACUAGAUGCUAAAUACUACUCCCAUACUCAGCUUAAAACUUUUAGGAUAUCCACCUCAAAAUAACUCAAGGGUCUAUAAUGAAAACCAAAAUAUAUUCCUAUUUGCUUUAAAUCAUAAUCAAAUGUGGAUUCCUAUCUUAGCUUAGACCCAAGAGGUCAAAUCUUUAACUAAAAUCUUAAAAUAGCUUCGUUUUGGGGUACUCAUGACACAAACAGUCUUGAACAAUAAAGCUUAAAAUAGAGGUCUAUUGACCCAAACAAUAAAUCUCAAGGCAUUAUCUCAAAAUUCAUGCUUAAGAAUACAAUUAUUCAUAAGGUAUCUUAAAAUAUGUAAGUCUCAUCAAUAAGCAUAUAAACAUUUGCAAAAUCAUGCUAUUUGACUUUCAAUUCAUGGAAAGUAUCAAAACCUUGCAACUAAUGAUAAUGGGUGAAAAACCCUAACUCAAUUUCAUGUAAAAUCUUAUAAAUUGCAGAAAGCUUAUAAUUUAAAAUAAGCCUUUGGGCACAAGGAUGAAAAUAUUACCCUUGUUCAAACCCCAUAUACCUUAGAUUGUGAAAUUGGAUGAACAAGCUUGCUUGAGACUCUUUAUGGAACUCUUGAGAGAGGGUUAUUAAAGCCUUUGACUUGGGAACCUUGAAUCUUAACUUAAUUUGUAAAAUCUAUAGUGAGUUCUUGAAUUUCUUGCAGUAAGAUUUGGAUUUUCUCUAGAGGGUUAAUCUUGAGAGAAAACCCUAGUUUUUGAUGUCUAUAAAGAAUGUGAAGCUAUGUGCAUUAUUUUGGCUAUAUCUGAGUGUAAAAAGGGUGGAAAAAGACCAAAAAUCCCUUUUAAAAAUGACUUAAAAUCACUGAACGAAAUAGGCGAUGGUGGGUACGAUGGUCUGUUGAGGGCCCAACGGUCCGUCGGCCCUGACCGUCGUACCUGGGCUAGAAUUGGACUUUUUGGCUUGCCUACGAUGGCUGGGUUGAUGGUCCAUCGCUAGAUGAGCUAGUGUCUAGUGUAAGGGCUAAGAUGAAGAAGUUUGCUUUGGACGUAUCUCGAGACUUAGUGUUGGAGUGCAAGGCUAUCUUACUGAAUAGUGACAUAGAUAUCUCUAGGCUGGUGGUGUAUAUGCAACAACUUAAAGAUAAGAGAAAGAAGUAAGUCGAAUUUGUAAAAUUCUUUUUCUCGUUUUUUGACUCCAAAUUUUUGACUUAUGAAAAUUUGUAAAUAAUCCAUUUUUGCCUCUAGCGUGAGGGGCAAUUGAGCCUCCUUGGUGAAUUUGCAUGUCAUGUAUGGUUAGCUUAUUUGUUUGAAUCUCAUGUAUUUUUGUACCAUCUAGAACUUGCCCCAUUAGUCUCUCAAUUCUAAUUUUGAUUGUAUUUUGUUGGGAAAAUGAUCUUAGGAAAUCUUUUCGACUCUGGAAAUCUAAUUUAGCCAAAAAGCCUACCCUUGCAUAGAUGCUAUCCCUAGUCACCCACUUUGAGACUUUAUACCUUUUUUUGGCAAACACAUUGCAAGUUGUGAGCCUUUCAAUUCAUAUCCCUCUUUUGAACUCUAUCCUCCUUGGGAUUAAAAAUACAAAGUGAGGCUAAAAGUAUAAGUUGGGGGUGGUAAAGAUUGGAAGAGGUAUCUUUGGGCCACGAGAAUGUAAUAUAGUUCCUAAGAGAUAAAUUUGGAGAACAAAUGAAUAGAAAAUAGAAGGGACCCAAGAAAAGAAAGAAAAACAUGAAAUGUACACGGUAAAGAGGUAAAAAGAAGAUGCUUUCAAAAAGAUGGGUGAAUCAAAGUAGUAAUAGUAGGCACAUGUUUAAAGAGUGAAAACAAAAGAAGUGGUUCAUGGACAAAAGUUGGAUGAAAAAGUUUAAUGUAGAUGUUUAAGGAGGGUAUAGUCACUUGUUCCCAAAUAAUAUCCUACCCUACCCCGAACCUAUAUUACAAGCUCCAAAAGCCCUUUGAGAACUCCAACUAAGUGCAUUCAUUGUAGUGGUGAUUGAAAGUAGGGGCAAGCCUUUGUCUUGGUACUUGUUUACAUUGAGUGUUAUUAAGAGAGAGAGAGAGAUUUUUGUACUUAAAUUCAUUGUUGCAUAUUUAAUAACUUGGUGUGUGGAUUUUUCUUUCUUGUGAGGAGGUGAUGUUGGGUGUAUUUAUGCACUUUAGCAUUGCUAUCCUAACUUAUAUAACUUUGUUUUUAGGUUGAUUCAUGUCUUUAAUGAGUGAAUGGUGAUAUAAAUAAGCAUGUAAGUGUUCAAGUAUGUGAUUGCAAUGUGUAAAAGUGUUUUCAAAUAAGUUUGUGCUUAAUUGAGCCAUUUUGAGUUCAAACGAGCAAACUUGUGUUACUAGCUUGAGCAAUUUGUCAUUCUAGUUAGUCUCGGUGGAUUCUACUGUGUUAAAUGAGUUCUUUAUGGUGUGAAUGUGUAAUUAUAUGUGUAUAAACUUGUUUAUAGUGUGCAACAUUCAAUUAAAAUGAGCCAAGAGUCAACAAUUUAUUAAAGCAUAAAGUGGUCGAGACUAGUGCUUAGAUUGAGUUUCUAGUUUGCUAUUGUUGAGGUUGUUUUGUGUUGAACUCUAAUGUGUGGUGUUUGAUCAUGUCAGAUUCUUGAACAGUUGAUGUAGAUGAUAUUUUGAUGUUGAAAUAUCUGGAAUUGUAGGCAAAAUAACACCACAAGGCAAGGAUGGACGAUAACACUUAGAUAAAAUUUUGGAAGCAAAUUCCAGUGAGCAGAGAAGAAUAGCCCGCGAUGCCUUAGACAUAGCAGUGCAAUGAAGCCUACAUAACCCCAGCCAUAUCAUUGCAAUGGUGCCCGUGCAGCCCCUCAUGGAGCGGUGCAAUAGAGCCUGCGAUACCCUAGGUAGUUCGGUGCUCUCAUAGACACGACGUCUCUAAAUCCUACAUGGCUUAGGCUUUCUUCUACAAUAAAUACACACUUUAAAUACUUUGUACUCUACCUUUUGACUUCUUGGAGCAUUGUGAGGGGCUGAAAAACACUUUAU